GGGUUGUGAGGUUAAGCGACUAAGCGUACACGGUGGAUGCCCUGGCAGUCAGAGGCGAUGAAGGACGUGCUAAUCUGCGAUAAGCGUCGGUAAGGUGAUAUGAACCGUUAUAACCGGCGAUUUCCGAAUGGGGAAACCCAGUGUGAUUCGUCACACUAUCAUUAACUGAAUCCAUAGGUUAAUGAGGCGAACCGGGGGAACUGAAACAUCUAAGUACCCCGAGGAAAAGAAAUCAACCGAGAUUCCCCCAGUAGCGGCGAGCGAACGGGGAGGAGCCCAGAGCCUGAAUCAGUGUGUGUGUUAGUGGAAGCGUCUGGAAAGGCGCGCGAUACAGGGUGACAGCCCCGUACACAAAAAUGCACAUGCUGUGAGCUCGAUGAGUAGGGCGGGACACGUGGUAUCCUGUCUGAAUAUGGGGGGACCAUCCUCCAAGGCUAAAUACUCCUGACUGACCGAUAGUGAACCAGUACCGUGAGGGAAAGGCGAAAAGAACCCCGGCGAGGGGAGUGAAAAAGAACCUGAAACCGUGUACGUACAAGCAGUGGGAGCACGCUUAGGCGUGUGACUGCGUACCUUUUGUAUAAUGGGUCAGCGACUUAUAUUCUGUAGCAAGGUUAACCGAAUAGGGGAGCCGAAGGGAAACCGAGUCUUAACUGGGCGUUAAGUUGCAGGGUAUAGACCCGAAACCCGGUGAUCUAGCCAUGGGCAGGUUGAAGGUUGGGUAACACUAACUGGAGGACCGAACCGACUAAUGUUGAAAAAUUAGCGGAUGACUUGUGGCUGGGGGUGAAAGGCCAAUCAAACCGGGAGAUAGCUGGUUCUCCCCGAAAGCUAUUUAGGUAGCGCCUCGUGAAUUCAUCUCCGGGGGUAGAGCACUGUUUCGGCAAGGGGGUCAUCCCGACUUACCAACCCGAUGCAAACUGCGAAUACCGGAGAAUGUUAUCACGGGAGACACACGGCGGGUGCUAACGUCCGUCGUGAAGAGGGAAAUAACCCAGACCGCCAGCUAAGGUCCCAAAGUCAUGGUUAAGUGGGAAACGAUGUGGGAAGGCCCAGACAGCCAGGAUGUUGGCUUAGAAGCAGCCAUCAUUUAAAGAAAGCGUAAUAGCUCACUGGUCGAGUCGGCCUGCGCGGAAGAUGUAACGGGGCUAAACCAUGCACCGAAGCUGCGGCAGCGACACUAUGUGUUGUUGGGUAGGGGAGCGUUCUGUAAGCCUGUGAAGGUGUACUGUGAGGUAUGCUGGAGGUAUCAGAAGUGCGAAUGCUGACAUAAGUAACGAUAAAGCGGGUGAAAAGCCCGCUCGCCGGAAGACCAAGGGUUCCUGUCCAACGUUAAUCGGGGCAGGGUGAGUCGACCCCUAAGGCGAGGCCGAAAGGCGUAGUCGAUGGGAAACAGGUUAAUAUUCCUGUACUUGGUGUUACUGCGAAGGGGGGACGGAGAAGGCUAUGUUGGCCGGGCGACGGUUGUCCCGGUUUAAGCGUGUAGGCUGGUUUUCCAGGCAAAUCCGGAAAAUCAAGGCUGAGGCGUGAUGACGAGGCACUACGGUGCUGAAGCAACAAAUGCCCUGCUUCCAGGAAAAGCCUCUAAGCAUCAGGUAACAUCAAAUCGUACCCCAAACCGACACAGGUGGUCAGGUAGAGAAUACCAAGGCGCUUGAGAGAACUCGGGUGAAGGAACUAGGCAAAAUGGUGCCGUAACUUCGGGAGAAGGCACGCUGAUAUGUAGGUGAAGUCCCUCGCGGAUGGAGCUGAAAUCAGUCGAAGAUACCAGCUGGCUGCAACUGUUUAUUAAAAACACAGCACUGUGCAAACACGAAAGUGGACGUAUACGGUGUGACGCCUGCCCGGUGCCGGAAGGUUAAUUGAUGGGGUCAGCGCAAGCGAAGCUCUUGAUCGAAGCCCCGGUAAACGGCGGCCGUAACUAUAACGGUCCUAAGGUAGCGAAAUUCCUUGUCGGGUAAGUUCCGACCUGCACGAAUGGCGUAAUGAUGGCCAGGCUGUCUCCACCCGAGACUCAGUGAAAUUGAACUCGCUGUGAAGAUGCAGUGUACCCGCGGCAAGACGGAAAGACCCCGUGAACCUUUACUAUAGCUUGACACUGAACAUUGAGCCUUGAUGUGUAGGAUAGGUGGGAGGCUUUGAAGUGUGGACGCCAGUCUGCAUGGAGCCGGCCUUGAAAUACCACCCUUUAAUGUUUGAUGUUCUAACGUUGACCCGUGAUCCGGGUUGCGGACAGUGUCUGGUGGGUAGUUUGACUGGGGCGGUCUCCUCCUAAAGAGUAACGGAGGAGCACGAAGGUUGGCUAAUCCUGGUCGGACAUCAGGAGGUUAGUGCAAUGGCAUAAGCCAGCUUGACUGCGAGCGUGACGGCGCGAGCAGGUGCGAAAGCAGGUCAUAGUGAUCCGGUGGUUCUGAAUGGAAGGGCCAUCGCUCAACGGAUAAAAGGUACUCCGGGGAUAACAGGCUGAUACCGCCCAAGAGUUCAUAUCGACGGCGGUGUUUGGCACCUCGAUGUCGGCUCAUCACAUCCUGGGGCUGAAGUAGGUCCCAAGGGUAUGGCUGUUCGCCAUUUAAAGUGGUACGCGAGCUGGGUUUAGAACGUCGUGAGACAGUUCGGUCCCUAUCUGCCGUGGGCGCUGGAGAACUGAGGGGGGCUGCUCCUAGUACGAGAGGACCGGAGUGGACGCAUCACUGGUGUUCGGGUUGUCAUGCCAAUGGCACUGCCCGGUAGCUAAAUGCGGAAGAGAUAAGUGCUGAAAGCAUCUAAGCACGAAACUUGCCCCGAGAUGAGUUCUCCCUGACUCCUUGAGAGUCCUGAAGGAACGUUGAAGACGACGACGUUGAUAGGCCGGGUGUGUAAGCGCAGCGAUGCGUUGAGCUAACCGGUACUAAUGAACCGUGAGGCUUAACCUUACAACGCCGAAGGUGUUU
rnacentral:rRNA from 1 species